rnacentral:rRNA from 1 species
GCAAAGUUCCAACGGUACAGGAUGGACUCGCGUCCCAUUAGCUAGUUGGUGAGGUAACGGCCCACCAAGGCGACGAUGGGUAGCCGACCUGAGAGGGUGAUCGGCCACACUGGAACUGAGACACGGUCCAGACUCCUACGGGAGGCAGCAGUGGGGAAUAUUGGGCAAUGGGCGCAAGCCUGACCCAGCAACGCCGCGUGAGGGAAGACGGUCUUCGGAUUGUAAACCUCUGUCCUUGGGGACGAAAAAAAUGACGGUACCCAAGGAGGAAGCUCCGGCUAACUACGUGCCAGCAGCCGCGGUAAUACGUAGGGAGCAAGCGUUGUCCGGAAUUACUGGGCGUAAAGGGUGCGUAGGCGGUCAGGCAAGUCAGAUGUGAAAUCCCCGGGCUUAACUCGGGUGGUGCAUUUGAAACUGCUUGACUUGAGUGCAGGAGAGGAAAGCGGAAUUCCUAGUGUAGCGGUGAAAUGCGUAGAUAUUAGGAGGAACACCAGUGGCGAAGGCGACUUCCUGGCUUGUAACUGACACUGAGGCGCGAAAGCGUGGGGAUCAAACAGGAUUAGAUACCCUGGUAGUCCACGCCGUAAACGAUGAGUACUAGGUGUCGGGAUCGCGAGGUCUCGGUGCCGCAGCUAACGCAUUAAGUACUCCGCCUGGGGAGUACGGUCGCAAGACUGAAACUCAAAGGAAUUGACGGGGGCCCGCACAAGCGGUGGAGUAUGUGGUUUAAUUCGAAGCAACGCGAAGAACCUUACCAGAACUUGACAUCCCGCUAUAGAAAUAUAGACUUCUUAGUUUACUAAGACACAGAGACAGGUGGUGCAUGGUUGUCGUCAGCUCGUGUCGUGAGAUGUUGGGUUAAGUCCCGCAACGAGCGCAACCCCUACAGCUAGUUGCCAGCACAUAAAGGUGGGAACUCUAGCAGAACUGCCGUUGACAAAACGGAGGAAGGUGGGGAUGACGUCAAAUCAUCAUGCCCCUUAUGACCUGGGCUACACACGUGCUACAAUGGUAGGUACAAAGGGCAGCGACUCCGCAAGGGGAAGCCAAUCCCUUAAAACAGGUCCCAGUUCGGAUUGUAGGCUGAAACUCGCCUACAUGAAGUUGGAGUUGCUAGUAAUCGCGAAUCAGCAUGUCGCGGUGAAUACGUUCCCGGGUCUUGUACACACCGCCCGUCACACCAUGGAAGUUGAGGGGACCCGA